rnacentral:rRNA from 1 species
UACGGAGGGUGCAAGCGUUAAUCGGAAUCACUGGGCGUAAGGCGUGCGUAGGCGGUUUGGUAAGUCAGAUGUGAAAGCCCGGGGCUUAACCCCGGAAGUGCAUUUUAAACUAAGAGACUUGAGUAUGGGAGAGGGGAGUGGAAUUCCUCGUGUAGCGGUGAAAUGCGUAGAUAUCAGGAGGAACACCGGUGGCGAAGGCGACUCCCUGGACUGACACUGACGCUGAUGCGCGAAGGCGUGGGGAGCAAACAGG